UACGUAGGUGGCAAGCGUUGUCCGGAUUUACUGGGCGUAAAGAGCGCGCAGGCGGUCGGAUAAGUCGAAUGUGAAAGCCCCCGGCUCAACUGGGGAGGGUCAUUCGAUACUGUUCGACUCGAAGGCAGGAGAGGGAAGUGGAAUUCCCGGUGUAGUGGUGAAAUGCGCAGAUAUCAGGAGGAACACCGGUGGCGAAGGCGGGUCUCUGGGCCGAUACUGACGCUGAGGAGCGAAAGCGUGGGGAGCGAACAGG
rnacentral:rRNA from 1 species